GACGAACGCUGGCGGCGUGCCUAAUACAUGCAAGUAGAACGCUGAAGUGAGGAGCUUGCUCUUCUUGGAUGAGUUGCGAACGGGUGAGUAACGCGUAGGUAACCUGCCUGGUAGCGGGGGAUAACUAUUGGAAACGAUAGCUAAUACCGCAUAAAAUGGAUUAUCGCAUGAUAAUCCAUUGAAAGGUGCAAAUGCAUCACUACCAGAUGGACCUGCGUUGUAUUAGCUAGUUGGUGGGGUAACGGCUCAUCAAGGCGACGAUACAUAGCCGACCUGAGAGGGUGAACGGCCACACUGGGACUUAGACACGGCCCAGACUCCUACGGGAGGCAGCAGUAGGGAAUCUUCGGCAAUGGGCGGAAGUCUGACCGAGCAACGCCGCGUGAGUGAAGAAGGUUUUCGGAUCGUAAAGCUCUGUUGUAAGAGAAGAACGAGUGUGAGAGUGGAAAGUUCACACUGUGACGGUAUCUUACCAGAAAGGGACGGCUAACUACGUG
rnacentral:rRNA from 1 species